GUCAGUGUGGUGUAGUGGUUUGAGUGUUGGACUACAAUUCUGGAGAUCAGGGUUCAAUUCCCUGCUCAACCA